rnacentral:rRNA from 1 species
CGGGGGGGAGCUUACCAUGCAGUCGACGAUGAAGCCCAGCUUGCUGGGUGGAUUAGUGGCGAACGGGUGAGUAACACGUGGGUGAUCUGCCCUGCACUCUGGGAUAAGCCUGGGAAACUGGGUCUAAUACCGGAUAUGACCUCGGGAUGCAUGUCCUGGGGUGGAAAGUUUUUCGGUGCAGGAUGAGCCCGCGGCCUAUCAGCUUGUUGGUGGGGUAAUGGCCUACCAAGGCGACGACGGGUAGCCGGCCUGAGAGGGCGACCGGCCACACUGGGACUGAGACACGGCCCAGACUCCUACGGGAGGCAGCAGUGGGGAAUAUUGCACAAUGGGCGCAAGCCUGAUGCAGCGACGCCGCGUGAGGGAUGACGGCCUUCGGGUUGUAAACCUCUUUCACCCAUGACGAAGCGCAAGUGACGGUAGUGGGAGAAGAAGCACCGGCCAACUACGUGCCAGCAGCCGCGGUAAUACGUAGGGUGCGAGCGUUGUCCGGAAUUACUGGGCGUAAAGAGCUCGUAGGCGGUUUGUCGCGUCGUCUGUGAAAUCCCGCAGCUCAACUGCG